rnacentral:rRNA from 1 species
AUUGAACGCUGGCGGCAUGCCUUACACAUGCAAGUCGAACGGCAGCACGGGAGCAAUCCUGGUGGCGAGUGGCGAACGGGUGAGUAAAGUAUCGGAACGUGCCCAGUCGUGGGGGAUAACGUAGCGAAAGUUACGCUAAUACCGCAUACGAUCUAUGGAUGAAAGCGGGGGAUCGCAAGACCGCGCGCGAUUGGAGCGGCCGAUGUCAGAUUAGGUAGUUGGUGGGGUAAAGGCUCACCAAGCCGACGAUCUGUAGCUGGUCUGAGAGGACGACCAGCCACACUGGGACUGGGACACGGCCCAGACUCCUACGGGAGGCAGCAGUGGGGAAAUUUGGACAAUGGGCGCAAGCCUGAUCCAGCCAUGCCGCGUGCAGGAUGAAGGCCUUCGGGUUGUAAACUGCUUUUGUACGGAACGAAAAGGUUUGGCUUAAUACGUUGAACUCAUGACGGUACCGUAAGGAUAAGCACCGGCUAACUACGUGCCAGCAGCCGCCGCAG